GACGAACGCUGGCGGCGUGCUUAACACAUGCAAGUCGAACGAAGAGCGAUGGAAGCUUGCUUCUAUCAAUCUUAGUGGCGAACGGGUGAGUAACGCGUAAUCAACCUGCACUUCAGAGGGGGACAACAGUUGGAAACGACUGCUAAUACCGCAUACGAUCUAAUCUCGGCAUCGAGGAUAGAUGAAAGGUGGCCUCUACAUGUAAGCUAUCACUGAAGGAGGGGAAUGCGUCUGAUUAGCUAGUUGGAGGGGUAACGGCCCACCAAGGCGAUGAUCAGUAGCCCGUCUGAGAGGAUGGACGGCCAACAUGGGACUGAGACAAGGCCCAGACUUCUACGGGAGGCAGCAGUGGGGAAUCUUCCGCAAUGGACGAAAGUCUGACGGAGCAACGCCGCGUGAGUGAUGACGGCCUUCGGGUUGGAAAGCUCUGUUAAUCGGGAAGAAAGGCCUUCUUGCGAAUAGUGAGAAGGAUUGACGGUACCGGAAUAGAAAGCCACGGCUAACUACGUG
rnacentral:rRNA from 1 species